rnacentral:lncRNA from 1 species
GUGGGGCCUCUAGGCCCGUGGACUUGUACGGUUCUUGGGCCAGUGAUUGGGCUAUGAUACCAACUACGUACCAAGAACACCCUCCAUUAGAAGAAGAGAACUACAAAUCACCUGAUUACUCCAUGAUAAACAACAUUAUCUCAAGAACACCCCCAUCGAUCCUCCGUAAUACCGAUUGCUAGGUAGAUAAUUACCUGCACAACAUACUACUGAUCACACUAUCUACCAUCAUCUUUAUUUUUUUUGCCCCACCCUGUCUGCUGCUGUGGUCAUAUUUUCCAAAAUGGGUCUCGGGAAAGUUACUCUGUCGCCGUCCGUUUUUACCCUGGUCUUCAUAAACCAAGGUGGGACGUGAGACAAGGUCGUUUCGUCCCGUUCUCAUCCCUAACCGGAACCCAACUCGUGAUUUUUCAUAUAAUUUUAAAAUGAAUUAAUCAUUAAUUAAACUUUGGUAUGUAUUUUUAAA